rnacentral:rRNA from 1 species
UACGAAGGGGGCUAGCGUUGCUCGGAAUCACUGGGCGUAAAGGGUGCGUAGGCGGGUCUUUAAGUUAGGGGUGAAAUCCUGGAGCUCAACUCCAGAACUGCCUUUGAUACUGAGGAUCUUGAGUUCGGGAGAGGUGAGUGGAACUGCGAGUGUAGAGGUGAAAUUCGUAGAUAUUCGCAAGAACACCAGUGGCGAAGGCGGCUCACUGGCCCGAGUACUGACGCUGAGGCACGAAAGCGUGGGGAGCAAACACGGAGUUAG